ACACAUUUAUAUUUAUAUUAAAUUUAAGGAUUUAAAUCUUCACACUCAUGAACUUUUAUGUAAAUAUUGACAGAAUUCAUUGGAACUUUAAUUGGGUCAAAUCUCUGAAACUUUUUAUUUAAAACUAAGAACGGUCCUGAAAAAAUUAAAUCAAUCUCUCAAAAUAAUUAUUUUGAACAGAGAAAUCUGAAAUUCUCAUAACGUCCUCCUUUUCCCAGCAUGCACUGGGCCGUUUCCGUUCGUCCCGAUGCGGGGCCUGCAUUGUGGCCCCUGCUCGCUGCCGCCCUCUGCUGUUACUUCCUGCACACAGCAGGGUGUACCUGCGGCCUCCCAUCCUGAGGUAAAUGUCGCCCCCUGGUGGAGGAGACCAGAGACUGCUCAGACUGAGGAAGAGGAGGGUCCUGAAGAUUUAUUCUGCUGUUUAAACCUAAAAACAUAUUCAGCAGUGUUAAGACGUUUCCUGUUGAAGUGCCUUUGAGCAGCCAAAGGCUGCUGGUUAAAUUGGGGUUUGGUGGGAAACCAGAUUUCUCUGCGCUUCUUUAAAGACUUCCAGCUGCUGUGACACCCGGUUUGUUCCUGAGGUUCCAGGUUUUCAAUAUAAAAACUCUCAGUCUGAAAAUAAUUGACGUUUUCUUCCAUAUUCUGAUUUAUUUGGAGGUUGAUUCUGAAAUCCCUCCACCCCACCGGUCUGUUCCUUCUUUUGGGAGCUGCUGCUGGUUUCCGUCUCGGUUUCGUGGUAAACAUGUUUUCUGCUCGGCCUGGAUCCAGAACCGUCAGCCUGAGAACAACGGCUCUGAUAAGCUUCUGAAACGGCCGGGGGAGGAGCAGGGAUUAUCCCGAACUGGCCCCGGGGCCCUGGCUCCUGCACUCAGACAGAUCGGACCUCCAGGGCGCUCCAAGGGCCCGGCGACCCCCUCAGGAUGGAGAUUACAGGGCGGCGCUGCGGCUUGUAUCUGGGAGCGCCGCGGCCUCACAUGGAAUCACAAGGACAAACAAGCGGCCGUGUGACGAUCAGACACACAACACCGCUGUUCAGGCCACACAGAGCCCAUUGUUAGAGGAGAGGCUGCUGCAGGAAGCAGAGGUAAAAAUAGCAUCAGCCAUGUUUGUUCUGUUCAGCCCAGAUCAGAUAAAAACUCCCAAACACACAAAGUUCAGAUAAUUUCUUUAAUCUGGGAUAAUAAGUCAGAUACAAACACAAAAUGUUCAGGAAUAAAGACAGAACGGUUGGUUCAGAGUCAA